rnacentral:rRNA from 1 species
GGGUUGUGAGGUUAAGCGACUAAGCGUACACGGUGGAUGCCCUGGCAGUCAGAGGCGAUGAAGGACGUGCUAAUCUGCGAUAAGCGUCGGUAAGGUGAUAUGAACCGUUAUAACCGGCGAUUUCCGAAUGGGGAAACCCAGUGUGAUUCGUCACACUAUCAUUAACUGAAUCCAUAGGUUAAUGAGGCGAACCGGGGGAACUGAAACAUCUAAGUACCCCGAGGAAAAGAAAUCAACCGAGAUUCCCCCAGUAGCGGCGAGCGAACGGGGAGCAGCCCAGAGCCUGAAUCAGUGUGUGUGUUAGUGGAAGCGUCUGGAAAGGCGCGCGAUACAGGGUGACAGCCCCGUACACAAAAAUGCACAUGCUGUGAGCUCGAUGAGUAGGGCGGGACACGUGGUAUCCUGUCUGAAUAUGGGGGGACCAUCCUCCAAGGCUAAAUACUCCUGACUGACCGAUAGUGAACCAGUACCGUGAGGGAAAGGCGAAAAGAACCCCGGCGAGGGGAGUGAAAAAGAACCUGAAACCGUGUACGUACAAGCAGUGGGAGCACGCUUAGGCGUGUGACUGCGUACCUUUUGUAUAAUGGGUCAGCGACUUAUAUUCUGUAGCAAGGUUAACCGAAUAGGGGAGCCGAAGGGAAACCGAGUCUUAACUGGGCGUUAAGUUGCAGGGUAUAGACCCGAAACCCGGUGAUCUAGCCAUGGGCAGGUUGAAGGUUGGGUAACACUAACUGGAGGACCGAACCGACUAAUGUUGAAAAAUUAGCGGAUGACUUGUGGCUGGGGGUGAAAGGCCAAUCAAACCGGGAGAUAGCUGGUUCUCCCCGAAAGCUAUUUAGGUAGCGCCUCGUGAAUUCAUCUCCGGGGGUAGAGCACUGUUUCGGCAAGGGGGUCAUCCCGACUUACCAACCCGAUGCAAACUGCGAAUACCGGAGAAUGUUAUCACGGGAGACACACGGCGGGUGCUAACGUCCGUCGUGAAGAGGGAAACAACCCAGACCGCCAGCUAAGGUCCCAAAGUCAUGGUUAAGUGGGAAACGAUGUGGGAAGGCCCAGACAGCCAGGAUGUUGGCUUAGAAGCAGCCAUCAUUUAAAGAAAGCGUAAUAGCUCACUGGUCGAGUCGGCCUGCGCGGAAGAUGUAACGGGGCUAAACCAUGCACCGAAGCUGCGGCAGCGACGCUUAUGCGUUGUUGGGUAGGGGAGCGUUCUGUAAGCCUGUGAAGGUGUACUGUGAGGUAUGCUGGAGGUAUCAGAAGUGCGAAUGCUGACAUAAGUAACGAUAAAGCGGGUGAAAAGCCCGCUCGCCGGAAGACCAAGGGUUCCUGUCCAACGUUAAUCGGGGCAGGGUGAGUCGACCCCUAAGGCGAGGCCGAAAGGCGUAGUCGAUGGGAAACAGGUUAAUAUUCCUGUACUUGGUGUUACUGCGAAGGGGGGACGGAGAAGGCUAUGUUGGCCGGGCGACGGUUGUCCCGGUUUAAGCGUGUAGGCUGGUUUUCCAGGCAAAUCCGGAAAAUCAAGGCUGAGGCGUGAUGACGAGGCACUACGGUGCUGAAGCAACAAAUGCCCUGCUUCCAGGAAAAGCCUCUAAGCAUCAGGUAACAUCAAAUCGUACCCCAAACCGACACAGGUGGUCAGGUAGAGAAUACCAAGGCGCUUGAGAGAACUCGGGUGAAGGAACUAGGCAAAAUGGUGCCGUAACUUCGGGAGAAGGCACGCUGAUAUGUAGGUGAAGUCCCUCGCGGAUGGAGCUGAAAUCAGUCGAAGAUACCAGCUGGCUGCAACUGUUUAUUAAAAACACAGCACUGUGCAAACACGAAAGUGGACGUAUACGGUGUGACGCCUGCCCGGUGCCGGAAGGUUAAUUGAUGGGGUCAGCGCAAGCGAAGCUCUUGAUCGAAGCCCCGGUAAACGGCGGCCGUAACUAUAACGGUCCUAAGGUAGCGAAAUUCCUUGUCGGGUAAGUUCCGACCUGCACGAAUGGCGUAAUGAUGGCCAGGCUGUCUCCACCCGAGACUCAGUGAAAUUGAACUCGCUGUGAAGAUGCAGUGUACCCGCGGCAAGACGGAAAGACCCCGUGAACCUUUACUAUAGCUUGACACUGAACAUUGAGCCUUGAUGUGUAGGAUAGGUGGGAGGCUUUGAAGUGUGGACGCCAGUCUGCAUGGAGCCGACCUUGAAAUACCACCCUUUAAUGUUUGAUGUUCUAACGUUGACCCGUGAUCCGGGUUGCGGACAGUGUCUGGUGGGUAGUUUGACUGGGGCGGUCUCCUCCUAAAGAGUAACGGAGGAGCACGAAGGUUGGCUAAUCCUGGUCGGACAUCAGGAGGUUAGUGCAAUGGCAUAAGCCAGCUUGACUGCGAGCGUGACGGCGCGAGCAGGUGCGAAAGCAGGUCAUAGUGAUCCGGUGGUUCUGAAUGGAAGGGCCAUCGCUCAACGGAUAAAAGGUACUCCGGGGAUAACAGGCUGAUACCGCCCAAGAGUUCAUAUCGACGGCGGUGUUUGGCACCUCGAUGUCGGCUCAUCACAUCCUGGGGCUGAAGUAGGUCCCAAGGGUAUGGCUGUUCGCCAUUUAAAGUGGUACGCGAGCUGGGUUUAGAACGUCGUGAGACAGUUCGGUCCCUAUCUGCCGUGGGCGCUGGAGAACUGAGGGGGGCUGCUCCUAGUACGAGAGGACCGGAGUGGACGCAUCACUGGUGUUCGGGUUGUCAUGCCAAUGGCACUGCCCGGUAGCUAAAUGCGGAAGAGAUAAGUGCUGAAAGCAUCUAAGCACGAAACUUGCCCCGAGAUGAGUUCUCCCUGACUCCUUGAGAGUCCUGAAGGAACGUUGAAGACGACGACGUUGAUAGGCCGGGUGUGUAAGCGCAGCGAUGCGUUGAGCUAACCGGUACUAAUGAACCGUGAGGCUUAACCUUACAACGCCGAAG